CUGUAUAUAUCUAUGACAAUAGUUCUGUCGGUUUAAAACUCAACACUGCAAGAAGAAGAAAGAACGAGAAUCAGUGAUUAGCGAAACCAUUCUACAGAAAACAAAACCAAGUCAGUGUUGUGUCCAGAAAAAAAAAACAAUUUAGAAGUAAUUAAGAAACAGGGCCAAGAAGAUAAAAAAGAAAAAAAAGACAAGGAAGACACAAAACAAAUCUGGUUAAUUGAGAAAGAACAUUCUUGGAUGUCAAGUAACAGAUGAAAGAAACAGCAACGAAUCAGAACACACGAACAAGAAUAAAAAAAAACAAUCUGGUUAAUUCCGCAGAAAAAUAAUCAGAUGAGCAUAAAAGAAUCUGGUGAAAACAGAGGAGCAUACAUACCAAACAUGAAUCACCAAUCUGCAUCUGAUAAAAAUUAGGCAGAACAACGAUGAGUCUGAUCAUAAACUAAACAGAGGUGAUCAAAAGAAGAGCAUCAAACAUUAGUAGUAUAAUGAUUUUAAUUCUCCUUGAGAUGCUGCUUCUGUGUAGUUUCUACGAACGGUCUGAUUCGAAGUUUUCAAGACAGUUCUCUGUCGAUCCCAGCGAUUCAGAGAGGAGGAGCUUUUGGCUAUGGCUAACACCACCGAUUGAAAAGAUUUUGAAGAAAAAAAAAGCUUAAAAAUAAAUAUAUUAAUGGAAAUAGAGAGGAGAAGUUAUUCUGAAGUCAAAAUAAAGCCAAACCUUGCGAGGAUGCAAGUACACACAAAGAGAUUUGUUUUCUAUUACUUC
rnacentral:lncRNA from 1 species